GACACAGAGAGCCAUGGGGGGAGGUAGAGGGUGAACAGGUGGCCUCUCCAGGAAUCUCCUCUAGGAAUAGAGUCACACAGAGGAAGCCACUUUAAUUUUCUUGCAGAUGACAGAUUUACUCGCUGCUGUUGCAGGUUGCGUUGAGAGCCGCGGUCUUGCUUGAAUCAAAUAGAGGAGUUCAGCUCCUUCCUAAAGAAGUGUGUGCACACGUGGUUUUCACAAGGGCUUCAUCUUCUGUCUGCUCGCAGUCCCAGCCAGGGAACAUAAGGUCUUAGGAUUCCGCCGUGGGAAAACCCGCCACCUUCAACCGUCGUGCCUGACACAUCAUAAGUGCUCGAUAAAGCAAAGCCCCCUGUUGGGAGAGCUGGGUGGACAUGUGCACAGCGUGCAGAUGGCUCAUAACCAGCCCCGCUAGCAAGAGUCAGGAACACAUCCAGGGCUUCUGCUUUGGAAACGUCUAUUUGCAACCAAGGGAAAAAAGAGAAACACAACAACUGGUAUGUCAGUAAGUCACCCUCUAAGAAAACAUGUUUUCUGACACCUCCUCCGUGUUCAGAGAUAGCCUUUCUGAGCAAAGAGCACCUGUGCGCUAAGGAUUAUGGUUAGUCUGGGUGCCAUGGACUUCCUGUAGGCUGACCCCCUGCCCCACCAACAAUCUUCAUCCACGUCCUCAGACGCCCUGGGCAGCCCUCUCGCCAUGGCACGUGAAAUUCCCAAGCACUGUGGAGCGCCUGGAUGGCUCAGUCGGUUAAGCAUCCGAUUCUUGAUCUCAGCUCAGGCCCUGAUCUCAGGGUCAUGAGUUCAAGCUCCAUAUUGUGCCCUGCAAUGGGCGUGAAGCCUACUUUAAAUAUACAUAUAUAAUUCCCAAGCACUGAAUGUUUCAUCCAGCAGUUUUAGCACCAGAUCAUUAAGUGGAUUUGGGUUAAAGAGUCCCAUGCAUGAGUCCUUGCACAACGUGAGCUGAUUCUGUUCAGGACCAGACCGUAGAAUCGCCUGGUGAACGUCCCCAAAUGACAGUUGGUCUAGGGCCUGGAGUCUGGAGAUUCUGAUUCUUAGAGUCCCUCCAGUGAUUCAGGCAUCCUGGAUCCCUGGGACCCCGGCUGGAGCACAAUGCUGAUGAACGCUUGCUUUGGCCCACGAAGGCCAGUGCAAUUCCAGAACGUUCCCCUGCUUGCCCCUUAUCAAAUUGUCCAUUUUGUGCACCAUUUUCUUGGUUCCCAACUUGGUGUCGG